rnacentral:rRNA from 1 species
AUUGAACGCUGGCGGCAGGCCUAACACAUGCAAGUCGAGCGAGCGGCGGACGGGUGAGUUAUGCCUGGGAAUUGCCCAGUCGAGGGGUAUAACAUUUGGAAACGACUGCUAAUACCGCAUACUAUUGUCUUCCCCAGGUGGGAUUAGCUAGUGGGGGAGGUAAUGGCCCACAAAGGCGACGAUCCCUAGCUGGUCUGAGAGGAUGAUCAGCCACACUGGAACUGAGACACGGGCCAGACUCCUACGUGAGGCAGCAGUGGGGAAUAUUGCACAAGGGGGGAAACCCUGAUGCAGCCAUGCCGCGUGUGUGAAGAAGGCCUUCGGGUUGUAAAGCACUUUCAGCGAGGAGGCGUUACUCGCAGAAGAAGCACCGGCUAACUCCGUGCCAGCAGCCGCGGUAAUUC